rnacentral:lncRNA from 10 species
AACAGGCAGAAAAUUAAAACUGGAUUGCUACCUGGUGCUUCCAUACACUGAAAAGAAAGAACACUCCAAUCUGCCAGCCUUACGAUGUUGGGAAAACGCAUCAAACAGUGCUAAGGUUUUAAGCAUGGAGAAUAUAAUCCAGUUGUAAAGCUAUUAACCCAGAAAAGAUGUCACAUGAAAGUCUGUAAAUAUGAACCACACUCUACUGCCCAGUGAUGGAGAAACCUACUGACUGUGGUGCGCAGAUUCCUAAGACGCCCUCAUGGUAUCCAUGUCCGCAUCAUCUCCUCCCCCUUGAGAGUGGGCUGAACCUGUGACUGGCCUCUAACCAACAGGCUAUCGUGAAGAGGGCCUGGAGGAGAGAGACCCUUCCUGCUGUCUUUGAAGCAGCAAGCCUCCAUCAGUUCUGCAGCUACAAGAAAAUGAGUUCUGCCAACAACCAAGUGAGCACUGAAGAGGACCCUGAGCAUCAGAGGACAGCCUAGCCCUGGCCAAUGCCUUCAUUGCAGCACUGUGAGACCCGAACAAAAGAUCCAGCUAAUGCAUGUUCAGAAUUCUGAUUCCAGGAAACUGUGGAAUAAUAAAUGCUCCUAUGUUAAGCUGCUAAGUGUGUGGUAAUGUUUUUACUCAGCAAUAGAAAACUACUGCUGGAUGGGCGCGGUGGCUUGUGCCUGUAAUCCCAGCACUUUGGGAGACCGAGGCACAUGGAUCACUUGAG